AGUGAACGCUGGCGGUAGGCCUAACACAUGCAAGUCGAACGGCAGCACAGUAAGAGCUUGCUCUUACGGGUUGCGAGUGGCGGACGGGUGAGGAAUACAUCGGAAUCUACUUUUUCGUGGGGGAUAACGUAGGGAAACUUACGCUAAUACCGCAUACGACCUACGGGUGAAAGCAGGGGAUCUUCGGACCUUGCGCGAUUGAAUGAGCCGAUGUCGGAUUAGCUAGUUGGCGGGGUAAAGGCCCACCAAGGCGACGAUCCGUAGCUGGUCUGAGAGGAUGAUCAGCCACACUGGAACUGAGACACGGUCCAGACUCCUACGGGAGGCAGCAGUGGGGAAUAUUGGGCAAUGGGCGCAAGCCUGAUCCAGCAAUACCGCGUGGGUGAAGAAGGCCUUCGGGUUGUAAAGCCCUUUUGUUGGGAAAGAAAAGCAGCAGGUGAAUACCCCGCUGUUCUGACGGUACCCAAAGAAUAAGCACCGGCUAACUUCGUG
rnacentral:rRNA from 1 species